GAAUGAAUGCGCUCCUCGAUAAAUGUUCAUCUCUUGAAGAACUCUCGGUGAAGCGUUUACGCGGCAUCAACGACGGUGUAACGGCGGAGCCGAUUGGUCCUGGUGCCGCUGCUAAGUCGCUCAAAACCGUAUGUCUCAAGGAGCUUUACAACGGCCAGUUUUUUGGCCCGUUGAUUAGCGGUGCUAAGAACCUCAAAACCUUGAAACUGCUCCGAUGCUUAGGCGACUGGGAUAGCUUGAUGGAAAUGAUCGCUGUUCCAGAAAAUUCUCUUGUUGAAGUUCA
rnacentral:lncRNA from 1 species